rnacentral:rRNA from 1 species
GCAAGUCGAGGGGCAGCGGGGAGGUAGCAAUACUUCCGCCGGCGACCGGCGCACGGGUGAGUAACACGUAUGGAACCUGCCCGUAGCAGGGGGAUAAGCGGAAGAAAUUCCGUCUAAUACCGCGUAAUAAUUCCGAGAGGCAUCUCAUGGAGUUUAAAGGGCAACACCGGCUACGGAUGGCCAUGCGGCGCAUUAGCUAGUUGGCGGGGUAACGGCCCACCAAGGCGACGAUGUCUAGGGGUUCUGAGAGGAAGGUC